GUGACAGAUAUGACAUGACAUGACAGAGCAUUGGCACUGCUCCACCAAGGGCUCUGUAAAUCCCUGGUGACAGGCUUGGGCAAGCAACUCACAAACACCUGGGAACUUGCUACACUUUGAUUGUUUGCAGGUUAGAUAUUAAGAAAAACUUGUUCUCAGAAAGAGUGGUUGGGCACUGACACAGGCUGCCUAGGGAAGCAGUGGAGUCAUUGUCCCUGGAAGUGUUCAAGAAGACCUUGCAGAAGAAGUUCCUCAAUGUUUUGAACUUGCCAUCUGAACCAUCUGAAGACACAGAUUGGUACACACAGAGGUACCUAAAAAAACCCACGUGAUUUUACAUACAAGCAUGAAAACAUAGGAAACAGCACCAAGAGAAACUGCUGAGGACCAUGGAUGGGAUGCUGCAGCACAACAUCACAGUGGGGAUCUCAUCCUGCAUUUCUUUCUGGCCAACUCUCUUUCAUCAGUGUGAAGUGGAAGUGAAGACAGCCAAAGUCUUGGGUCUCAUCUUGCUGCUCUCAGAUCCUUGGCCAAUGGCACUCUGGAUAGUUCCAUCUACAGCAAAUCUUACGGUGCAACACCCGCAGUUCAUGCACUGGUGUAGAACUUCCCAGUAUCUUUGAACCUCUGGGUGAGGCCAGUGGCAUCUGAAUGAGAAAUGGAAGCCUCAGAAUGACAUGGGUAUGGAAGACUCAGUUUGCAGAGUUAAGGUCACACAGUGUGUGAUUUCUCUUUUCCAAAUUCCUUAAUGUCAAUGUAUGAUAAAAUACACUUUUAGUUAAUAACCAUAGUUCAUAAAAAUUAACAUGAGACUCCUGCCACCCAUACUGGAAGCAGACUGAACAGGAAUCACAGCAUCCACCAAAUUCUGUUUGUUCAAUAAAACCAACGGCAAAAAAGAGCAAGGGAGGAGUAUGUUGACAAAAUGUGCAGUACACUAUAAAGUAUUUGACACUUCCUCAGACAUGCCAAAGGCAACUGGGCUCUGGAGUAUUUGGAAAGAAGGAGAAUGAAGUACUUUACUGUGUUAAUGCUAGGAGUUAUUGUAUUGUAUUGUAUUGUAUUCCACUACUGACUAAGGAAGAUGGUGGUAUCUAUUAAAGAUCUUUUUUUUUUUAAUGGCAAAACUUUUCCAAAAUCUCCAAAAGACCAUGGAAACCCCGGGGAAAAAACAGAUGGCUGGAAAAAAAACUAAAUUAAUGAUGAUAUUUACAAAUCAAGGAUAACAUAGAGGACACAGAAAAUGGUUAAUAUGCCAUCAGUAUAAGGCGAAACUGAAGAAUCUGGAUAACUAUUAUCCAUGAAAAGGAAUAAAAGAUACACAAUGAAAUGUAUAAAUGCAAAACAAUAUGGGCUUAUGGCAAAGUGAAACAAACCUAAUAUUAAAAAAUAAAUAAAUUUUUUGGUUGAUCAAGAUAGAUGGAAAGAUUUCUUUAAAACAUUUAGCUUCAUUCUGCAUUUAACCCUUAUUUAUAAAACUGUUUCUUAAAAUACCAUUGUUGAAUAUGUAAAAUGGGCUUAAGCACUGGCUAAAUAAUAGUCUCAAUGAAUAAAUGUGCAAU
ensembl:lncRNA